AUAAUAUCAAUGCAAGUUUGAAACAGUGCCUUAUAUGGUCUAAUAGCUGUGCAAGGAAUAUUUGCUAAGAGCUUCACAGCAGUUCAAUACGGGAAUUUCACCCUCAGCCUAAGAUGAGGCUUUAUGGUAGCUUUUCUGCUGUAACAGAAACGUUUGUCUGAAUUACGGCACAGGGAAGCUGUUAUGAAUUUGGGUAAAGGGACAGCCUCUAGUUAGAAACCAUUUACCGCUGAGAGCACAUCGCCGGGGGUUCGGAAUGGCUGAGAGAGCUUGGCAAGAAAGGGCCAAUAUCCUGCCACAGUCUUGUAAAACUGAACACCAUGAACAGCCUCUUGUGACUUCCCUUGCUGUAUCAUUUUGAACUGAAACUUUCUCAGAAACUUCCUGUGAUGGAGUGUCAAGCCCAGAUUCCCCUUCUAGGAAGAGAAAGAAAUGAAGAAGUCAGCACAAUAACAGGAUGGAGAAGGAAUCACAAAGAAUGAAUACAGAAAAAUCUGAGUCAGAUACUAAUGAUGCUACUGCGGAUAACACUGAAUACAGCAUCCCACAACCUGUGCCGUAUGUCAGACACUCAUCUUUACAGCACCCAGCAAGUGUUAGGAACUAUGCUAUGGACAUAUCAGCUAUGGCAACUAUACCCACUCUUACUUUUUAAGAGGUUAAAAAACUGAAGAAUAGACUGCUUUGGGGAGUGGCCAAAAUCACCUUGCUCCUCUGCAAGGAAGAUCAGGUUUGGAGAAAGGCGACCAAGUCAACUUUAUAGAGGACACGGAUUCUUAGAUGUAGUAGGGAAAGUAAGGCAGGAAAAAGACAAGUACAGGGUUCUCUUAGAACAGAACCAAGGGUGAAGCAGGGGGUCACAGCAGAGGAUUUCAUCAGCUGUGGAGAAAUGCAAAUUAAUAUCCUUUAUCCAUUUCA